rnacentral:rRNA from 1 species
UACGUAGGGUGCAAGCGUUAAUCGGAAUUACUGGGCGUAAAGCGUGCGCAGGCGGUUGUGUAAGACAGAUGUGAAAUCCCCGGGCUCAACCUGGGAACUGCAUUUGUGACUGCACAGCUGGAGUGCGGCAGAGGGGGAUGGAAUUCCGCGUGUAGCAGUGAAAUGCGUAGAUAUGCGGAGGAACACCGAUGGCGAAGGCAAUCCCCUGGGCCAUAACUGACGCUGAGGAGCGAAAGCAUGGGGAGCGAACAGG